rnacentral:lncRNA from 1 species
CCCAGCAGAAAAAAAGAUGCUGUUUAAGAAAAAGACAACAGUUUCUGCCAGUAUAAAAACAAAAGGCAACAAAGUGCUGCAGCAAAUGUGUGACUCACUUGAUGAACAAUAAAAAUUAAAAAGGGAAUGUGAAAUUUCUAUAAUUGCAGCAAUGGGCACAGUAAAACAAGAGUACAGAUGA